CGUAAAAUCGGAACAUCGAAAAUCGAAAAUCACUAGUUGAACCCUAACUUACCCGUUUGCAAAAUUUGAUGACUAAAAAAAAAGGGUCAUCAAGUUUUCGAAAUUCCAAAUUGGACAGUGAUAAUUACCGGAAAAUCGAAAAUUAUCGCACAGGCUGAAUUUUGGAUCGUACAAAGCUUCAAAUUAUCGUAUGCGUACGAUUACGUUAAUCACGAAACCUAUGUGGUUUUCCAAUGAACCAUUUUCCUGAGAGUAGUUCAGCGAACGUGUUACGAGAGGCAGCACUCGUAGUAGGGACAAACAAAAAAAAUUUCCAUUUAAGACAGUGUUAUUUACGCUAUAUUAUUUUAUUAUUUAAAAAUAAUAAUUAAACACAAAAAAAUUUUUUUAAUAACCACUAUGCCAACGAAACAUUGUAGUUUUGCGAGGUGUACGUCGGAUAAUCGCUAUCCAGAGGAAAAUAUGUUUUUUAUACCAUUUGUAAAAUCUCAUAUUGACGAGGUGUUAGAUACAAUAAAUGGAUACAUGCAUCAAGGAGAGUGGAUUUAACAGUAGAAAAAAUUAAUAAAUAUUCAUAUGUGUGCUCAAAACAUUUUAUCGGUGGAAAAGGUCCAACUGUAGAAAAUCCUGAUCCUGUUUCUGCAACGAUUAGCAAAGUACCAAAGGCACGAAAAAAACGACUUUCAACAUCAACAAUUGAUUUUCUGUGCAGUCGAGACCAAAAAUCAAAAAGAGGCAAAGAUGCUAACUCAGAUUUUUUCAUUCCAAGUCAA